rnacentral:rRNA from 2 species
UACGGAGGGUGCGAGCGUUGUCCGGAAUCACUGGGCGUAAAGGGCGCGUAGGUGGCCGAGCAAGGUCGCGGUGAAAGCCCGGGGCUCAACCCCGGGUCGGCCGUGGCAACUACUUGGCUUGAGCACUGUAGGGGCGGGUGGAAUUCCGGGUGUAGCGGUGGAAUGCGUAGAGAUCCGGAAGAACACCGGUGGCGAAGGCGGCCCGCUGGGCAGGAAGGCUCGCAAGAGCCGGCUGACACUGAGGCGCGACAGCGUGGGGAGCAAACAGG